AGUUAGCGGCGUAGGGUACAGAGGUAAGAUGUUCUAUCUUUCAGACCUUUUGUUUCACGUUAUUGGAUUUGGCUUUUUUUAGCCGCCCUGGUCAUUUGACCAGGGCGUUUUUAU
rnacentral:other from 1 species